rnacentral:rRNA from 1 species
AGCAGUAGCCGCGGGAAUACGGAGGGUGCAAGCGUUACUCGGAAUCACUGGGCGUAAAGGACGCGUAGGCGGAUUAUCAAGUCUCUUGUGAAAUCUAACGGCUUAACCGUUAAACUGCUUGGGAAACUGAUAAUCUAGAGUAAGGGAGAGGCAGAUGGAAUUCUUGGUGUAGGGGUAAAAUCCGUAGAUAUCAAGAAGAAUACCUAUUGCGAAGGCGAUCUGCUGGAACUUAACUGACGCUAAUGCGUGAAAGCGUGGGGAGCAAACAGGAUUAGAUACCCCCGUAGUCCCUGUCUCUUAUAC